rnacentral:lncRNA from 1 species
CAACGAUUAGGUGAUCGUGUUCCCUGACUCUCAUCGGCAGCAGGGCUCCUGGAAGUCCUGCUUCUCAUUACUACUGUGGACUGGAGCCUCCCCAGAGCUCCCUGGGGUCCUUGGCCUGGGUGAAGAUGGAUGAAGAUCAGAUCCAGCAGCUGUGGGUAGAGGAGGGUCCAGGAAGCAGGCACAAAGAGAGGUAAUUCAUCCACAUGGCAAAACAGAGCAUGAUCUGGGGAAGCUGGAGGCCUCCCAAACAGGGCCUCAACUGUCAGAACAUGUAAUAAACAUAACCAGCCAGAGGACUGAGGGGAGGCAGAAGGCACACAGUUAACCACUGCAGCAGAAAGUAGCAGAAAUGAAGGAUAUUGCAUUUGAGGAUACUGUGAGAGCUCUGUCAGAGGCUAUCAGAGAAGCUCCCUGCAUGACAGCAGAGUGGUCUAGACUGGACCCCAAGUCAGACCAGCCCAAAUGAGCAAGGUUUGCAGAAGGUGGUUUGUAUAAGAAGACCGAAACAGGGUGCAGCUCAGCGCUUGGGAAAGUUGCAAGGGGCUCUGAAGUGUGUUGUUUGAUUUACAUUUGUGGGGUUCCAUAAAUAGGCACUUCACAGAUGCAGACUCUCAAAAUUCUACCAAGAACCGCACAAUAUAGCUGACCACACUGGUCUGCACUUGAUAAGUGAGGAAAUAGAGGCUCAGAGAGCCAGAAUCACAUAUAUAAUUACUACCAGAGCUGGAAUUCCAAUUCAGGCUCAUCUAAUUUGAAAGCCCAUUCUCUUUACACCACACUUCACUAAGACCAAGUCAGCCCUGCCCCUGGGGAGAAAUUCCCUAAGCCUUUAGCAGAGAUCUUGAUAGUCCUAAUGUAUUAGCUUCUCUAAUACAUGUUUAUAAUUCUUGUUGUUGUUUGCUGCUGAUGUUGUUGGUUGUGUCUUAAGGGAAGGGCUAGGAGGGCUUACUGAGAACACUAUCACGUUCUUUCCAACUUUACAAUAGAAGAGGACUGUCUCAGAAGAGAAUCUGGGGCUCUUCUGGAUGUUGUGGGUUUCACCAUUGGAACUGAUGAUUCUCAUGCAAGAGAAGACCCUCCCUUCCACUGUGGGCACUAAACUGCAGUUCUCUAGACGUCUGGACAGGAAUUUCAGCACAUGCUGGAGGGCCGCUCCCACAGAACUUGUAUCUUUUACUUCAGCAGACUCCUGGCUGCCAGUUCUGUAUCUCUUUCUUUUUCUGGAACCACAGAAGAUCACAUUGUCCAAUGUGCCAGGCUAGAAAUACUAGGGGAUUAAGCUGCAGCUCCAUGUUGAGGUAACUGACUUAAUAGUACACCGUUUAGUGACUAUCUUCCUUCCUCUGUUUUUCUUCUUUUGUUUGUCUACCGUUGUCUGCAUGAACAAAAUAAUCCAUUUGUACCCAAAUAUUUAUAUCAGGCUCUACUUCUGGGAGGGCCAAAACUAAGACUAAGAGCCAUGGUUUCAUGUUUAACCAUGCGAUAAAACCUUGUUCUAUAAGAACAAUUGCUUUCAUUCUAGGGCCCCAUUCACAUAGCACGGAAAACAGUAACGAUGUAACUGUUCUGUAAUAUUUCUGUGCAGAGAAUAUGCAAAACAGUGUGGGCGAGGUUCUUUACCAAAACAAAACAGUGCAGACCAUGUGAUCUCUGGCUCUUUUACUGCAUAAUCUGGCUUUGGAGACAUUGCUACACAUUCAUGCUGAAUGUUCUUGCUCUCUCUCCUAUUUUCAUGCCACUGUGUCUUCAUGCAUAUCCCCACUUGGUUUUGACAAAUCUGGCCUCCUAAGCCUUAAAGCCAUUUCAUUAUUGCUGACACCAGUCCAUUGCUCAGACUCUAAUACCUCACUUUCUCUGGUUAUGUAGGGGAUUUUCUUAUGAUCCUGGAAGACAUCCUGGGAGAUAAAACCUCCGAAGUAUCUGGUUUCUAUUAGAAUCAAGUCUGUAGGAUUAGAAGUUUCUUAAUGCACAAUUAUAAAAUGCACAACACCAGAUGUAGUUGUCCAUAUCUUCUUUCAUAUUCCUCCUUUCCUAUUAUUGCUCAGCUAAAUGUUUCCAUGGGGAAGAAAAACACUUGAAUCUUAAAGUGAACUGUCAGCUGAUGUCCCUGAAGUACAUUCAUGAUAUUGUUCCCAAUGUCCACAUGUCUCUGGAGUCUGUAUCACAUCCUAGAAUCCAUUCUAUGCAACCUCAUUAACUGCAAAGGGCAUGGGACAAGUUAAAAGGGAUCCUGCCUGGCAGGUGAAGCAUGGUGUCUGUAAAACACGGUGAUGGCUACUAUGUCCAUUCAAGCUAGUGGGAUGUUUCAGAUGUAUCCUCUAAAGUGGAUAAACUAACAAUCCAGGUACUGGGAGUGUACCCAGGGGUUAUUCAGAAGUCCAGGCUAGCAGAUUACAUCAUAGAGUUGCAGAGGCUAGAAGGACUUUAGGGUUAGAGGUUGGGCUUGAGUCCUGGCAGCAGCUUAAUAAAAAGCAGUGGUUCUUCACCUGCAUCUGCAAAAGUGAAAUGAGGCCCAUGAAUGUCCUACAGUAUUAUAGAUAUUACAGAAAGAGAAUUACCACAAAACCACCCAGGCUACUAAUGACAACUUCCUUAUCUUUAUUUUGGAAAUGUGGCAGCUUAUCAUGCUCAUAUGUUCAGCAGAAACAUCAAAUAACAUUUACAUAACUUUUACUAGGAAAAAGCCAUGAUAAUGUAAUGAUAAACAUAAAUGCGGUUUAAGUAUUAUUUAUUCCUCCUGUAUCUCUCACUGGACAUAUGUUUCUCAAGGUCAAGUUUCUAUCUUAACUUUGCAUUCUCAGCACCCACCACAGGAAAUGUUAUGUAGUAGAUGCAGAUGAAAUACAGUAUUUGUUGAAUGAAAGUUAAACAAGAAACCAUUUGCAACCUCAGCACUUAACACAGUGUUCUAGUAGGCAAGCAUUUGUUGAAGGACUGAAUUAAGUAUACAAAAUAUUGCACAACAAAAGGACCUGGUUAGUAAAUAUAUUAAAAUGGAUUAUUAUAUAUGUUCUUAUGUCGCAUGAGCAGGAGUGGGACUAACCACCGGGAAACAAGGGAAGUGGAGUUUCAAUCUGAGGAAGAAUCUGUACAGUUACAGCUACUGAAUAGCAAAACAGAGAGGGGGCAGACACUUCUAUUUUCCCUAGCUCCCAAACGCUUCUCACCAUUAUCAUCCACUCACCACUACACUGAUUUCAAAUAUUUCACAGAGCAACCACUAAAUGGAAACAGAUAAUCACAGAUAAUCCUUAUUUUGCAAAUAUGGAAACAGAGAAAUUAAGCGAGCUGGCUCCUAUUGCUCUGUGAGGCUGAGAACUUGGAAUAAGUGUCAUCAUUGAUCAUUCCUCUUCCAGACCACCUAGUUUCUCAUUCAUGAUUAUAUUUCCCUAAAGGGUACACACUUGAGAGUACUUUUCGAAGACUUAGCUCCAAGGACAUUACUAACAUUAAUGUAAACUUCAUCAUAUAACCUGGGAAUAAAAAGCACAAUGGGAGAAAAUUAACUUCUGAGAGCUGGAGGUAAUAAGGAACAGUUGAAAGAGGGAGGAGACUAAAUUUUAUCCCCAGCUCUGGCAUUAACUAACUGUGGGGCAUUAUAGAUAAGUCCUAGAACCUCUCCAGACCUCAGUUUCCCCAUACCAAAAAUGAGGGAAUUGUGGAAGUUACUGUCUGUCAUAUGAUAUUGUGUGUCUCUUUAAGAUUCUGCAAAUUUAGGACACAUAAAAAUAUGAAGUCUUGGGAAUACUAUCCAAGAACCAUCAAGAGAGAAGGUAAGCCAAGUUCAUAAGACAAUUUAAUCCUCAGAAGCAAGACUCAGCCAAUAGCCAGACAGGCUGCGAUUCCCUUUGCUGUGUUUUCCUACUUUUGUGCCAAUCCCAAAAUGCUAAGUCAUUGCUUUUGCUAGAAGGAUAUUUUCUUAUUGCAUUCUGAGGAUUUGAACAAAUAUUUUCUUCUUGAGGAAAGCUUUCAGAACAUUUUCAAAUUGAAGGUUAGGCUUUCACGACAAAAGGAGCCUCCGCUCUGAAAAAUUUAACUCCCAGGUUUGGAUAGAUGCCGCACAUGGAAGAGAGAGAUCAGCAUCUGCUGGGCUACACUUUGUUUGACAUAGCCCUUUCUUUCCACCAAUACUGAAAUGGCUUUCAGCAAAGCCUGUGGGCACUGUGGUUUCCACAGCAGUCCUCUCAGGAGGGGCAGACACUGACAAAGCAUUUAGCUUCAGCCUUGUGACUGGUGACAUGCUGAAGCCAACCAGUUGGCUACCUACAUGGAAAACUAUGAGACUCACCUCCCCCCUUACCCUUGUUUUGUAGAGAUGCCUGCCUGAAAUUCCACUUCUGGGUCCUUAUCCCUUUCCUACAAUUAUGCAGCUUCUUUCAAUUGCAGAGAAGGGUCAGCCUGCAAAAACAACAGGUCCACAAACUAAAACGUUGCUUGCUAAUAAUUUUAUGAAUCAAUCCACAAGAAGUGGGCUCCUAUAAUUCCCUAUUAUUUAAAAGCAUUUAUUAUGCUUUUAAAUCACUUCUGAAUUUUUUUAUUUUUCUUGAUUCCAGUUAGUAGAUGGAAAAAAAUAUAUAAGCUCUAAGGUGGUAAAUGAUUAGAGUUUUUUCACACUGCUGAGUGAAGGGUGUCACAUUUAAUGCAGCUCUGCAUAAAACCAGGCUUCAAAGGUGGCUAAUCAUCUAGUUGUCAAUUCAUCAUUUAGGUAGCAGAGAAAAUAAGCUUCACAUUAAUGUGUAUUUACCCUUUAUAAAUAUUGGCAAACAUUAUCUCUUCUAAAAAUUCUUCUCUGAAUUCCCAGAAUGAAGAGUUUUUCUCUGACCUGUGUUCCCAGGGCAGCCUGAACUUUCCAUGGUCACUUACCAAAAUAUAUUAAAAUUGUGCCUCUGUCUCUCCAGUUGAGAGAGAACAGCCAUGUCUCACUCAGGACCCCGACUUCUGGAAUUUGAGGAAGGAAUCUUUUUUAGGGAGUAUUACCAAUGGAGCUUCAGCAACCAGGUAGGCACUGUGGUGGGCAUCACAAAUAUAAUAUCAUAUUUAAUGCUCACAACAAUCUUUUGAGCUACAUAUUUUGAAGAUGGGGAAAUCAUAGUUCAAGACGGGAAGUAAUUUUUCCAAUGUUCUACCAUGUGUAAAUUCCAGAGUCUGACAUCUUUAUUGAGUUUGGUCUUCAUGAUCUGUCAUGAUAAACUAUCCCAAUAUCAGUAAGUCAGAAAGUUCCUCAGGUAUAAAGUAAGAUUGAGACAUUUAUGCAAUCAGGGUAGCACAGAUUUUUACAGUUAUGUUGGUUUAUGUGGAAAUGUAAGGUGCUUAAAUAGAUGCUAGCAUAUUAGAACCUGUGGAAAAUUGGAACCUAAAUUAGAGGUGAAAGGUAGAUAUAGGAAAAGAUAUAGAAGACUAAGGUCAGCCAAGGUGUAAGUCAUAAGAGAAAUAAAAGAAAAUUAAUGUGUUUUUCCCCUAGGUACAUAGUGAGUAUCUUGAAUAUGUGAUGCUAAAUCUCAGUAACAUCAUAAUAAAAUAUGUAGCACAGCCAGCCAGAAAUUAUAUUAAGACAGCAUAUUAAAAAGGAUCCAAUAGUUCAAUAUCUAGAAUAUAGCCUCUGUGUACCAAAUCUUAUUUAACUAAUACCUCUUAAUUGGCAUUUAAGUUGUUUCCUAUUGAAUUUUUUAACUUGAG